AUGCACGGCGUGGGCCCGUCGGACGACGCCGCGGCGGCGGCGGCGCUGGAGCUGCAGGAGUCCGGGUGGGAGGAGCUGCGGCGGGAGGCGCGGAAGCUGGAGGGGGACCUGGACGUGAAGCUCUCCUCGUACGCGCGCCUCGCCGCGCGCUCCUCCUCCGCCUCCGCCUCGGCCUCGGCCUCGGCGGCCUCCCCCACCGCCGACCGCUCCUCCUGGAAGUCCACGGAGCUCGAGAUCCAGGCGCUGCUCGACAAGCUGCAGGACGUCAACGACGCCAUGAGCCGCUGCGCCGCGCCCGCCGCCCCCGCCACCGCUUCCGUCUCCCAGAAGCUCGCGCGCCACCGCGACAUCCUGCACGAGUUCACGCAGGAGUUCAGGAGGACGCGGGGGAACCUGAGCUCCAUGAGGGAGCACGCCGACCUGCUCAGCUCCGUGCGCGGCGACAUCACCGAGUCCAAGGCUACCGGCGGCAUGUCGCCGAGGGUACAUUUGCUCCGGGAGAGGGCUUCCAUUCACGGCAGCGUCAACCAGAUAGACGAGGUAAUUGGGCAAGCUCAAAGCACAAGAGCAGCCCUAUCCAAUCAGAGGGCCUUGUUUGGAGAUGUUCAGGGGAAAGUCAAGCAGUUGGGUGAAAAAUUCCCUGUGGUCCGAGGCCUCCUUGGCGCCAUCAAGAGGAAGAAAUCAAAGGACACGAUCAUCCUUUCAGCAGUAAUCGCGGCCUGCACCAUCUUUUUGAUCAUCUACUGGCUCUCAAAAUGA
rnacentral:rRNA from 1 species